GGCUCAGGAUGAACGCUGGCGGCGUGCUUAACACAUGCAAGUCGAACGGUGAAGGAGAGCUUGCUCUCUGGAUCAGUGGCGAACGGGUGAGUAACACGUGAGCAAUCUGCCCCUGACUCUGGGAUAACAGUUGGAAACAGCUGCUAAUACUGGAUACGAGACGUGAAGGCAUCUUCAACGUCUGGAAAGAAUUUCGGUCAGGGAUGAGCUCGCGGCCUAUCAGCUUGUUGGUGAGGUAACGGCUCACCAAGGCGUCGACGGGUAGCCGGCCUGAGAGGGUGACCGGCCACACUGGGACUGAGACACGGCCCAGACUCCUACGGGAGGCAGCAGUGGGGAAUAUUGCACAAUGGGCGAAAGCCUGAUGCAGCAACGCCGCGUGAGGGACGACGGCCUUCGGGUUGUAAACCUCUUUUAGCAGGGAAGAAGCGAAAGUGACGGUACCUGCAGAAAAAGCACCGGCUAACUACGUGCCAGCAGCCGCGGUAAUACGUAGGGUGCAAGCGUUAUCCGGAAUUAUUGGGCGUAAAGAGCUCGUAGGCGGUUUGUCGCGUCUGCUGUGAAAACCCGAGGCUCAACCUCGGGCCUGCAGUGGGUACGGGCAGACUAGAGUGCGGUAGGGGAGAUUGGAAUUCCUGGUGUAGCGGUGGAAUGCGCAGAUAUCAGGAGGAACACCGAUGGCGAAGGCAGAUCUCUGGGCCGUAACUGACGCUGAGGAGCGAAAGGGUGGGGAGCAAACAGGCUUAGAUACCCUGGUAGUCCACCCCGUAAACGUUGGGAACUAGUUGUGGGGUCCAUUCCACGGAUUCCGUGACGCAGCUAACGCAUUAAGUUCCCCGCCUGGGGAGUACGGCCGCAAGGCUAAAACUCAAAGGAAUUGACGGGGACCCGCACAAGCGGCGGAGCAUGCGGAUUAAUUCGAUGCAACGCGAAGAACCUUACCAAGGCUUGACAUAUACGAGAACGCUGCAGAAAUGUAGAACUCUUUGGACACUCGUAAACAGGUGGUGCAUGGUUGUCGUCAGCUCGUGUCGUGAGAUGUUGGGUUAAGUCCCGCAACGAGCGCAACCCUCGUUCUAUGUUGCCAGCACGUAAUGGUGGGAACUCAUGGGAUACUGCCGGGGUCAACUCGGAGGAAGGUGGGGAUGACGUCAAAUCAUCAUGCCCCUUAUGUCUUGGGCUUCACGCAUGCUACAAUGGCCGGUACAAAGGGCUGCAAUACCGUAAGGUGGAGCGAAUCCCAAAAAGCCGGUCCCAGUUCGGAUUGAGGUCUGCAACUCGACCUCAUGAAGUCGGAGUCGCUAGUAAUCGCAGAUCAGCAACGCUGCGGUGAAUACGUUCCCGGGUCUUGUACACACCGCCCGUCAAGUCAUGAAAGUCGGUAACACCUGAAGCCGGUGG
rnacentral:rRNA from 1 species